GAUUAUGCUGUUUGAAUUUAUAAUGAUGUAUACAUUUUUAAAUGUAAUUUUUGUUUAAUUGAUCUUUUUAACAGUAACUUACGGGCCAUUACUUAUACAUAUAUAUAUAUAUCAACUAACAUUUUCUCCAUAAAUUUACACAUAGAAACAAAUGUACAAAUGAUCAGCGAAGAAGAUUCAGCAGUUCCACUAGAAACAUCCGAACAUGAUUCUAAAGUAGAGGUUGAGCCAUAUGAUACAGAGGCCUCAGAGAAAGAUAAAGGCAAAGAAGAGGAGGCACAGAAAUCAUGAGACAAGAGAAGACAGACUUAGUGAGAAUAAAACAAGGAACAAACUAUCUAAAAUAUCGGACCUUUAUUACAAAUGUAUUAAAUACAUGGUUACAAAGUUUACGCAAUUCUGGCCAUUUGUCAAAAAAUUAUGAUAUACAAUUUUCCAACUAAAACAUAAUGAAUAUAAUUUGUAUUGCUUUAUUAAGUAGUUAUAAAUUCAUGCUAUUUAUUGGACGCAUUUUGAAGGUGCAUUUUCUGUAUGCCAGCUAUUUUGUUAAUUUUUUUCUUUAUACUUUAUAGUAUAUAUAUUUGAUAUAUGUUUUAAAACUUGUUUAUUAACAUGUACAUGUAUUCAAAAUAUUGCAUGUGCACAGUCUACGCAAUUUGUUAAUAAAUUUAUAAGAUUUUACUCUUGUUCUGAUUUACUCUUUGGCACAGUUAAUUAAUUC